GACAGAGGCCUCGAGCGUUAGGCGGAAUCACUGGGCUUAAAGCGUGUGUAGGCGGAUCGUUAAGUGCCUUGUGAAAUCCCACGGCUUAACUGUGGAACGGCUGGGCAUACUGGCGGUCUUGAGCCAUCUAGGGGCGACUGGAACAAACGGUGGAGCGGUGAAAUGCGCAGAUAUCGGGAGGAACACCAAUGGCGAAGGCAGCUCGCUGGGACGUUACUGACGCUGAGACGCGAAAGCGUGGGGAGCAAACAGG
rnacentral:rRNA from 1 species